ACGAUUGGCCUUGUCAAGCCUACCUACGGAACCACGGCCGCUCUGCCCCGUGCUCUCGCCGCGGGCGGGCACGUCACGAACCGGCCAUGCCGGGCACCGUGCGCAUGCGUGCUGCCGGAGGACAUUGCGCUUGCCGCUGUUCUUGCACACCCCGGGGCACAAUCCAAGUCGCCGCAAACCAGGUGAUGUUGGACACCGAGAGCGCAAGGCUACACAUGCCCAUACACCCGAGGCAAAGAGCUCUAAUUAAGGAUGCAAGUGGCCGUUUUCCUUUAGAAAAAUAAAAGAGAGAAUACGUUUGGAUUACACUUAACCUUACGAGCUCACAUCAACACGUACGUGCUUUGCACUCUUGCCGUUUUCCUUCACAAAAAAUAUUAAUAAAAAGGAAAAAUACACACACAUCUUUUAAACUAUUUUAAGUUUCAAACCUGCAUAAUUUGCCCAAAUAAACUUUAAGUUAAAUACUUAUUUUUUUUUAGAAAUUUUCUAAAAUCAUGCUCUAUCAUCUCAUGGUGUUUAUUUGGUUGUUUAUUGCUGUUUAUUUGGUUGUUUUGCAUGUGUUGUCGUUUGUCCGAUUUGCGUAGACGACGAGACAUUCGUGACUGCGCCAGACGCCGAGCGAGACGCUGAGCUAUUACUUGAGAGUUGAGAAUAUGAACGAUCGGUAACAAGGCAAGCACUCCCUUGAUCAUUCUUGCUCCUAUUUAAAUUCCUAAGCCUACAAAUAUAUGCAUGUGAUGAUGAUUUUAUGAGUCCAAAUGUCAUUUUAUGUGGGGUAGACACGUCCUAUUUUAAUGCAUUUACCUUUCUUGUUAUUUAUACCCUUUUUAUACUUUGUUAUCCUAAGGUUAUGGGUUAUUUGCGUAGUUUAGAGUCACAUGCUUAGUUGGCUUAGUAUUUUGUGCAGUAGUUAAUUAGCAUCACAUGGGUUGGUGUCUUUUAAAGAAAAUAUAUAUUUAUAUGGUUAUUAUUAAAGGAUAAAAAAUUUAUGGUAGACGCGGGUGAAUAUAUGGUCUAGCGGUUUUGAUGGUAUGAGGGUGAAGGAAAAUAAUAUGGAUGAUAAAAUGGAUGGAAAAAAAUGGAUUAUGGACAUGUCUUGGUCCCAUAUGCGUUUCCGGCGCAUUUAAGGUUUUACUCACACAUGUCAAAUUAAGGACCGGUAAUUGGCACUAUUCUAGCCAAGUAUUACAGUGCAACCAUACGGCUAAAUGGGCACUGAGCUUAGCUUAUUAAGUCAGUUGGGCCCGAGAGGAUGCUACCGCCCGAGUACUCGAGGAGUUCGUCGGUGUCGGGGUAGCUAACCCGGACAGAUGUACGGAGCUGAGAAACUCCUACAAUCUGUCGAGUAGCAUAUUUUGGGUCCGGUUGAUGUAACGGCUUUGUCAUGUUAGCUUGCCGACACAUCUAAGGAAUUGUGUAUAUGCGCGCUGAUCACGCGCUAGCAUCAAAGUGAAACAUGACGUAUGGGUAAAGUGUACAACCUCUGCAGAGUGUAAAACUAUUCGAAUAGCCGUGCUCACGGUCACGAGCGCUUGAGCUAGUCGCCGGUUUUAGAACUUUUGAUUUGAAAGUUGGUAUGAGAAUUGUUUGUUAACAUUUGCACCGGUUCAAAGGUUGUGGACCGAUAUAAAUGGUCAAAGAAUAGUGAAAUGGGAAAUGGGGAGUCAUGAUUGGUAAAGUCGGUCUAAUUUAUAUAAAAUAAAAUAUUUUCAAAAUUACGCGUAUAAAGAUACACCCAAAUAUAAUGCAGCCUAGUGCUAGUGAACCUGUCAACCUUCCUUGAUUAACCAUGUAUGUAUUAUAAGAUUUUUGAUAUACACCCGAAGUCUUGCGAGUACAAAAUUGUACUCAUCCUUGUUGCUAAAAUUUUAAAAUCCAGAGUUCGAAGAAGAGCCGUCUCUGUUCAGUUCCUUGCCGAAGGAUGCGGGUUUUCGACGUUGAUUCUUUCUAGGACUAACUCCCAGUCAGUUGCCUGUGGAAAUGUUUUGAGUGCAGUUGUGAUAUCGGUGCUGUUGUGCGUACUUGCGGACUGAUCAUGGGACAAGUACAGUAAAGCACAACGGGAACCUGGGUAUUUGUACGCCUGGGGGCCCACAACUAGUAUGUAUAAAGCAGUAGAAUUGGACUUCCAUGUAAUUCACCAUUGCAUUCAGUAGGGUUGCUUCUGUUAAGCAUGUUCUAUUAUGAUAGUUAACUGUAAUAUAUCCUGUUGUUUUGGAUAUCUGGACGAUGUUGCAUGGACCGGAGUUUGAAAAACAACUAGAGGUAGUCAUAAUUCUUCUCUGGGUUCCCUCCUUUUUUUCUGUUCUGUUUCCACCUGUGAUUGAUACAAAUCUGUCAUUUGUAUAAUUGCACAGGUUGCUCCUCUUAUCCGUUUGACACUGAA